rnacentral:rRNA from 1 species
UACGUAGGGGGCAAGCGUUAUCCGGAUUUACUGGGUGUAAAGGGAGCGUAGGUGGCAAAGCAAGUCAGAUGCGAAAGCCCGUGGCUUAACCGCGGGAUUGCAUCAGAAACUGCUUAGCUAGAGUACAGGAGAGGUAAGCGGAAUUCCUAGUGUAGCGGUGAAAUGCGUAGAUAUUAGGAGGAACAUCAGUGGCGAAGGCGGCUUACUGGACUGUAACUGACACUGAGGCUCGAAAGCGUGGGGAGCAAACAGG